GAUGAACGCUGGCGGCGUGCCUAAUACAUGCAAGUCGAGCGAACAGACGAGGAUCUUGCUCCUCUGACGUUACCGGCGGACGGGUGAGUAACACGUGGAUAACCUACCUAUAAGACUGGGAUCACUUCGGGAAACCGGAGCUAAUACCGGAUAAUAUAUUGAACCGCAUGGUUCAAUAGUGAAAGACGGUUUUGCUGUGACUUCUAGAUGUAUCCGCGCGGCAUUAGCUAGUUGGUAAGGUAACGGCUUACCAAGGCAACGAUGCGUAGGCGACCUGAGAGGGUGGUCGGCCACACUGGAACUGAGACACGGUCCAGACUCCGACGGGAGGCAGCAGUAGGGAAUCUUCCGCAAUGGGCGAAAGCCUGACGGAGCAACGCCGCGUGAGUGAUGAAGGUCUUCGGAUCGUAAAACUCUGUUAUUAGGGAAGAACAAAUGUGUAAGUAACUAUGCACGUCGUGACGGUACCUGAACAGAAAGCCACGGCUAACUACGUG
rnacentral:rRNA from 1 species